GGAUUAGAUACCCUGGUAGUCCACGCCCUAAACGAUGUGCACUAAGUGUCGGCGGUUUACCGCCGGUGCCGCAGCUAACGCAGUAAGUGCACCGCCUGGGGAGUACGGCCGCAAGGUUGAAACUCAAAGGAAUUGACGGGGGCCCGCACAAGCGGUGGAGCAUGUGGUUUAAUUCGACGCAACGCGAAGAACCUUACCCAGGUUGGACAUGCUCGUAUUAGAAGGGUGAAAGCCUGACGAGGUAGAAAUACCAGCGAGCUCAGGUGCUGCAUGGCUGUCGUCAGCUCGUGCCG
rnacentral:rRNA from 1 species